rnacentral:rRNA from 1 species
AGAUUGAACGCUGGCGGCGUGCUUAACACAUGCAAGUCGAGCGGUAACGCGGGAGCAAUCCUGGCGACGAGCGGCGAACGGGUGAGUAAUGCUUGGGAAUCUGCCCAUUAGUGGGGAACAACCAGCCGAAAGGUUGGCUAAUACCGCAUACGCCCUACGGGGGAAAGCGGGGGAUCGAAAGACCUCGCGCUAAUGGAUGAGCCCAAGUCGGAUUAGCUUGUUGGUAGGGUAACGGCCUACCAAGGCGACAAUCCGUAGCUGGUCUGAGAGGACGACCAGCCACACUGGGACUGAGACACGGCCCAGACUCCUACGGGAGGCAGCAGUGGGGGAAUAUUGGACAAUGGGGGGCAACCCUGAUCCAGCGACGCCGCGUGUGUGAAGAAGGCCUGCGGGUUGUAAAGCACUUUUAGUGGGGAUGAAAAGCUCAGGGUUAACACCUCUGGGUCUUGACCUAACCACAGAAAAGCACCGGCUAACUCUGUGCCAGCAGCCGC